ACGGAUAGGACAUCAAUGAAACCGAAAGGGGUGGAGAGAGAGGAGCAAAUGACGUUUAUGUUGUUUUACCUAAGUUCAUCGAGCUCGAAGGCCUUGUUUAUGUCAGCAACUAAAUCUUGAUUCUUUGGAGGUGCAGCGGGAAGGGAAAUGAGGGAAGGGAACAGUCGUGUUAUUUCCACAAAGGAACAAUCGUCUUAUUGUCACUUGCAGGACUUCUUGGGCUAUACAAACAGUCAUGGACUUUCUUGGGCUAUACAAACAGUCGUGGACUGAUUGGAGUACAAAUCUUUACGGGAGACUUAAAGGUAAUCAACCCAAAAAAAUCUCUUCGUUUACUUAUGGCAGUCCAGGAAGAAACUA
rnacentral:lncRNA from 1 species